UAAGGAAUAUUGGACAAUGGAGGCAACUCUGAUCCAGCCAUGCCGCGUGAAGGAAUAAGGCCCUAUGGGUUGUAAACUUCUUUUAGACGGGACAAAACCCCUUUACGUGUAAAGGGUUGAUGGUACUGUCAGAAUAAGCAUCGGCUAACUUCGUGCCAGCAGCCGCGGUAUACGAAGGAUGCAAGCGUUAUCCGGAAUUAUUGGGUUUAAAGGGUGCGUAGGCGGACUAAUAAGUCAGUGGUGAAAGCCUGCAGCUUAACUGCAGAAUUGCCAUUGAUACUGUUAGUCUUGAGUACAGUUGAGGUAGGCGGAAUGUGUCAUGUAGCGGUGAAAUGCUUAGAUAUGACACAGAACACCGAUUGCGAAGGCAGCUUGCUAAGCUGUAACUGACGCUGAGGCACGAAAGCGUGGGGAGCAAACA
rnacentral:rRNA from 1 species